rnacentral:rRNA from 1 species
CGCCUGGGGAGUACGGGUGAGGUAACGGCUCACCAAGGCAUCGACGGGUAGCUGGUCUGAGAGGAUGAUCAGCCACACUGGGACUGAGACACGGCCCAGACUCCUACGGGAGGCAGCAGUAGGGAAUAUUGCACAAUGGGCGAAAGCCUGAUGCAGCAACGCCGCGUGCGGGAAGAAGGCCCUAGGGUUGUAAACCUCUUUUAGCAGGGAAGAAGCGAAAGUGACGGUACCUGCAGAAAAAGCACCGGCUAACUACGUGCCAGCAGCCGCGGUAAUACGUAGGGAGCGAGCGUUGUCCGGAAUUAUUGGGCGUAAAGAGCUCGUAGGCGGUUCAGUAAGUCGGGUGUGAAAACUCAAGGCUCAACCUUGAGACGCCACUCGAUACUGCUGUGACUUGAGUCCGGUAGAGGAGUGUGGAAUUCCUGGUGUAGCGGUGAAAUGCGCAGAUAUCAGGAGGAACACCAGCGGCGAAGGCGGCACUCUGGGCCGGUACUGACGCUGAGGAGCGAAAGCAUGGGGAGCAAACAGGAUUAGAUACCCUGGUAGUCCAUGCCGUAAACGUUGGGCACUAGGUAUGGGAUCAUAUCAACGGAUUCCGUGCCGUAGCUAACGCAUUAAGUGCCCCGCCUGGGGAGUACGG